GACGUAGGGGGCCAGCGUUGCUCGGAAUUACUGGGUGUAAAGGGUUCGUAGGCGGUGUGGCAAGUCGGGAGUGAAAUCUCUGGGCUCAACCCAGAGUCUGCUUCCGAAACUGCUGUGCUUGAGUGUGGGAGAGGCGCGUGGAAUUGCAGGUGUAGCGGUGAAAUGCGUAGAUAUCUGCAGGAACACCCGUGGCGAAAGCGGCGCGCUGGACCACUACUGACGCUGAGGAACGAAGGCCAGGGGAGCAAACGGG
rnacentral:rRNA from 1 species